rnacentral:rRNA from 1 species
UACGAACGCUGGCGGCGUGCCUAACACAUGCAAGUCGAACGGAGAGAAUUUGAAGCUUGCUUUGGAUUUUCUCAGUGGCGGACGGGUGAGUAACACGUGAGUAACCUGCCUUACAGAGGGGAAUAACGUUUGGAAACGAACGCUAAUACCGCAUAACAUUCCGCAGCCGCAUGGAAGCGGAAUCAAAGGAGCAAUCCGCUGAAAGAUGGACUCGCGUCCGAUUAGCCAGUUGGCGGGGUAACGGCCCACCAAAGCGACGAUCGGUAGCCGGACUGAGAGGUUGAACGGCCACAUUGGGACUGAGACACGGCCCAG